AUACUACUCCCUCCGUCCGAAAAUACUUAUCACAAAAAUAAAUAUAAAUAGAUGCGUCUAAAACUAAAAUAUGUCUAGAUACAUCCAUUCUUUCGACAAGUAUUUCCGGACGGAGGGAGUAUAGC
rfam:Triticum aestivum genome assembly, contig: Triticum_aestivum_CS42_TGACv1_scaffold_226691_3B